AAUAACGAUCAAUGCGAGCAAGCGUCAUGCAGCCAACCGUAUGUUGAAGAAGACUCUAGGGUAGUAACGCACAUCAGUAGGGAGGAAAAGCUGUAUAUUAAUAGCGUGCAGCCGUGACGCCGCUGCAGAAGAAGCACCUACUAACUCCUUGGCAGCAGCCGUGGUAAUGAGGAGGCAACAAGUAAUCAUAGGAAUUACUGGGAGAAAACAGCCCGUAGGCGGCUUUAUUCAUAUGAGAUGUAACCGCAGGCAAUAACCUAGAACAUCAUUUACUAGCAAGUAUGAGAUAUAGAGAGGGAGAAGAACUGCGUAUAGGUGAAAUAUGUAGAGAUAUCAGGAAUACCUCGGCGAAAAGGCCCUGUGACGAAGAUGAGACGCAGGGGUGAAAACGUGUGGAGCAAACACGAGUAGAUACCCCGGUAGUCCACACCGUA
rnacentral:rRNA from 1 species